GUGUGUGGUGUGUAUGUGUGUGUGUGAAUUUGGGUCUCUGAGGGAGCAGUGUUAUUUGUCACUGGGUGAGUCUAGGUAGAGAAGCCAGUCUGAGUCACAGCACCCCGUCCUCAGAGGAACCUAAAUAUUUCCGCCUCCUGGAACUGCCAGUCCUCCCCCACUCUCAUUCCCUCUUCCUCCCUCACACAGACAGAAAUCCCCCUCCAAAGCAGACAGGAAAAUUAGCUAGCCUUCACGGGCUGAUCACCUACUUUAUUCCAGGUGCUGUCAAAGGCCUCACAAACAGGCCCCGAGUAUUCCUCUCUCUCCACAGCCUUGGAGGCUCCCAAGCUCACAGACUGUGCGUCCACAGGCCCUGCAUUGCCUCCAGCAAGCCCUGCCCUCCUUCAUCUCCAAUCGCCCUACCGCACCACACCAACGUCCCCCUUUGGCAGUUACAGUGUCUAAAUCUCCCUGGGCUGCAUUUCUCUCUCUGGAAGGAACCGUGUAACACUGAGAUAGAAGUGCAGAGAAACUGAGAAUCUUGAUUUUCUUCAUCGUUUACCCAAAACUUCAAAUAAAUAAGUUUCCCUU